rnacentral:rRNA from 1 species
AUGGGGCCCCGACCGCCAAGUUCGCCGGCUUACGCAGUGAUGCGGAAAAGAGCAAGCAGCGGCUUAACGGCCUAUCUGAUUGCGAGGCAGGAGAUACAGAGGAAGGUGGACGAGUUGGCCGAGAAGGAGCUUGGGCCCGAUGGCAAGGAGAGGUUCCUUGCCACUCUACUCUCCCAAGACAAGAUGAGGUCCAUGGAGGAGAUGAUCGCCGAUUCGGCGCGCAACAUCUUCCAAGAAUUUUUUCAUAUGUUACACCAAUCGCCGAUGGAAGAGGAAGAGGAAGAGGAAGAGGAAGAGGAAGAGGAGGAUGAGCUGGAGCUGGAGGAGGAGGAUGAGGAGGAAGAUGAGGAGGUAGAGGAAGAAGAAGAAGAAGAGGAGGAGGAGGAAGAGGAGGACGACGAGGAAUUACGCAUGACUGUUCAGGUAUCCUUCUUGUGCGACCAGAUCAGCGACCUGGUACUAGAACUUCUGAAGAUGGUUCCAGACGAAGAGCCGGAAAAUCAAAUGCUGUCCUUGGUCAAAAGGCUAAAUAGAUUGCAGUGGAUCACAGACAGCAUCAACAAUUUCGUCUCAGAAAUUGCGGUGAGGGUGUCGAGGGAACAAAUGAUAGAGAGAGCACGCAAAGAGAAAGAGGAACAGAAGAGAUUCCUCCAACAGGGCCAGGAGGUGAGGAGCUCGGACAAGAAACAGGAGCAGGAGAGGACCUUGGAGGAGAGGGAAAUCAACGGACAAGCGGUGGUCGCCGGAGGCAGAUUAGUCACUAUGGCAACGGACAGAGGCUUGGAGGCCAAAGAUAUCGAGGCUGAAGCGGUGAUCAGCGAGGCUGGGGAGUAUGAGGAGGAGGCUUUUGCUCGCUUCCGUAGGGACUGGGAGUGUCGCCAAGGUGCCAACAGCUUCGAAGACCUGACUUUGUUGAGUCCCAUGCUCUUUACACACUGUACACCGGGAUUCGAGCCAGUAGACGCUGUCCUCCCAAGGACUAUGCAGAUCUGUUCUAUCAAAGUUACUGACUUGAAAUACUUCAAAUUGCCACUGAAAGUAUAUGGUGUGGUUGCCGCCCGAGAUGCUGUGGAUGGGCGUCGCAAUCCCAUCUUCCUUUGUCCAAGGGAUGACUGCCAAGUCCUCAAUGAAGCGGAUCCUUUUUUGCAUUUGACCGGCCCAAUUCGUGCAAUUGUGUCUGAGGAACCCGUUGACAUUGAAAUCCAGUUAAUAAUAAAGGGCAAAACGGCGUCUGAAGACAGAGCAUUGGUGAGGGAUGCCUUUUUAUGUGAUGGUGAUGUUGGCCAUUCUCGUGACGGUUUCCGAACUAGCAUCAUUGAAAAAACCUUUUGCACACUAGAGUUAUGUUCUCAGCAACUUAAACGUUCGGUUCAAGCCACUAUCUUUGGUGUUCAUGUUGUUGAUGAGAAGUUAACGCCUUUUCAAUAUGGAGUCCGAGUUGUUUGCUACACAUUUUCUGAGUGUGAGAUUGAAGAAGUCAAUGUGUCCAAGUCAAGGAAAAUUGUAUUGCUUGAUUCAAAAGCUGGAAGAAAGUGUGCAGUUAAAGGUGGUUAUCUGAAUCUGUCAAGGCAAGUUCUAUCCGUAGAAUUCCGUGGAAAGCUAAAAGUUCUUAUUCAAGCAUACACACCGACUGGAGACAUCGCUGCACAAGGACUUGUAUUUGUCGUACCCAAAACAUACAACACAAGUCAACAUGUAUGUGAGCUUGGCGGCUUCAAGGUGGAGUUUACCAUUGCUUGGUCCCUCCUUGUUGAAGAUGAAGAGCAUAUCUUGAUGAAUGGAUGUGUGGAUCCUUUUGCACCGUGUCCACCUAUGAAACCCUCUUUUUUCAACUAG